CAGCCUGCCCAGUGACUCUGUUCAACGGCCGCGGUAUCCUAACCGUGCGAAGGUAGCGUAAUCACUUGUUCUUUAAAUAAGGACUAGUAUGAAUGGCAUCACGAAGGUUAUACUGUCUCCCUUUCCAAAUCAAUGAAACUAAUCUUCCCGUGAAGAAGCGGGAAUAAAUUUAUAAGACGAGAAGACCCUAUGGAGCUUUAAACCUCUCAACAACUAUCUUUAUAUACACAUACUCCAGAGCAAUUAAAUUAACCCUGAUAACAUGUCUAUGAGGUUUUCGGUUGGGGUGACCGCGGAGCAAAACUCAUCCUCCGCAAUGAAUUAGAACCAUACUUCUAAACAAAGAAUAACAAUUCUAUGUAUCAAAAAACUGACAUAAUUGACCCAACAUUUUGAUCAAUGAACCAAGUUACCCUAGGGAUAACAGCGCAAUCCAUCUCAAGAGCUCAUAUCAACAGAUGGGUUUACGACCUCGAUGUUGGAUCAGGGUAUCCCAGUGGUGCAGCCGCUACUAAAGGUUCGUUUGUUCAACGAUUAAAACCCUACGUGA
rnacentral:rRNA from 1 species